UGGAAAGUUCAUUGUUCGACACCAUGGAUCUCCAGGUGGGUCAAGUUUAGAGAUGCACCAACCUGGAGGACUCCAUGCUGUUGAGCUGUUCACAA
rfam:Macaca mulatta chromosome 3, whole genome shotgun sequence.